UUACAUUAACCCAAAGGAUUUCCCACCUUUCUCGAAGACCCAAACCAAUUAUAAGGAGUAAUCUUUGGGUAAUUCUCAUUCUAGCCCCACUAUGCAUCGUUCUAAAGCUUCAUACCAGCAAGCGAAAGGCACCUCUAUUACGCAUUUAGAAAAAUUAGUUAUAACAAUUUUAAACUCGAAAUUCCACUCGGCCAUCAAAUUCAUUGAAAAUCAAAACCCCAAUUUCCUUUCAAGUGAUAUGUCUUCUAGAGCUUCCUCAUCUUCACUGAAAUUUGGAGACCUUAAAUGGCUAAAGAGAGGUUCUCAUAAUUUACGAGGUAAAGGUAGUAAAUUUAAAGUGAAGGCUCUCGGUCGUGAGUCUGUUGCUAAAGCAAUGUCAAGAGUUGUUGAAAAGAUUGGUUCCGAUAGUCUGAUUGCGAAUUCUAACAAUUCUCAGGGGGAGCACCUAGGCUCCAGUGAAACGACCACUCUCGAUGCUUGAGAUGGGUUUGCCAUCAGUGCAUGAGAAAAGGCAUUCCUGCUAAUAAUAAGUAUCCUUUUGAUCCAGAGAUCGAGAGAACUUUGCGAAGAAGGCGAAAAUAACUAAGAAAAAUGACUAGAAAUGGGAAUGAUCCCAGUCAUAAUGAUAAUCCAAAUGGUCCUGGUGUUAAUAAUAAUCCAAAUGUUCAGGGUGUUAAUCCUCCUAUUCGUCAGGUGAUAGAUGACCGAGACAGACCCAGUCGAGAGCAUGUUGUUCCAUUUUUGGAUGAUUUGAAUCCAAGGAUAGUUAGGACACAAAUACAAGUUUAGCAAUUUGAGUUGAAAUCAGUAAUGUUUCAGAUUUUGCAAACAGUAGAACAGUUUAGUGGAUUACCAACUGAAGAUCCAAAACUGCACUUAAGACUUUUUUUAGAGGUUUGUGACUCAUUUAGGAAAUAGGGUGUUCCUGAAGACGCCCUGAGACUUAAACUGUUUCCAUAUUCUUUAAGAGAUAGUGCGAGAGCAUGGCUGAAUGCUUUGCCGUCACGAACAGUGACAUCAGGGAAUGGCCUUUGCUAGAGGUUUUUGCUAUAGUAUAAUCCACCAAACAUGAAUUCCAAGCUUAGAAAUGACAUCACAUCUUUUCGAUAAUUAGAGGAUGAAACAUUAUAUGAUGCUUGGUGGUGAUUUAAAGAUUUAAUUCAAAAAUGUCCGAUGCAUGGAUUCAGAUCUAGACUCAAAUGUAAAUAUUCUAUAAUGGAUUGAAUGCACAUACGAGAAUGGUAGUUCAUGUAUUUGCCAAUGGUACAUUGUUGGAUAAAAAUUACGACUAACAUAUGAGAUUUUGGAAAAGAUUGCCAAUAAUGACUAUCAGUACCCUACCACAAGAGUUGGGACGUACAAGAGAGCUGCUGGUACUAUGGAUGAUACGACCCAGCCCUGGAAAUGCCCUUGGCUCAGCUCAUCAGGUAAAUGUCAUGGGCGACAUUAAAGAGGUAGCUGCUGCCAAAUUUAAUGUGUGCAUGGAACAUAGGACGACAUUUAAGAGGUGGCUGUUGUUGCACCUUUCCAAGCUGAUCAUUCAGCUCACCGAUGCACCCUUAAAAGCUCCAUCAGUCGAAAUAUUCCAUUCCCUCACCAAGGCCGUUCAUUUUUGUGUGUUCACACACAAGGCCUGCUCAUUUCCUUUUGUUCACACCUAGAAACUGUUGAAGAACCCAAGCUGACUUUAAUGAAGUCCAAACUGUUCAGCUGAUCAAGGAGCCAUAAUUUAAGCCAAGUUUCAUUCCCUAAGCUGAAUCUACAUACACCAUUCAGCUCCCAAGGCCUCCAAUUACUCCAGCUUAAUUUCGAGGCAUCUAGAAGCUGAUUAUAGAUGUCCACAAUGCACAAGAAGCUACCUGGAAUUUUCCUUUAACUAUCAGCUCAUUAAGCCUGAACCGAAUUGACCAUUCAUGUUCUUUAAUGACCAUUCGGCUAUCCUUGUUUUUGAGCUAUAAAUAUGAAGCUCAUUAGAUGUAUUUUAGACUU